GCUGGCGGCAGGCCUAACACAUGCAAGUCGAGCGAAACGACGCUAACAAUCCUUCGGGUGCGUUAAUGGGCGUCGAGCGGCGGACGGGUGAGUAAUGCCUAGGAAAUUGCCUUGAUGUGGGGGAUAACCAUUGGAAACGAUGGCUAAUACCGCAUAAUGCCUACGGGGGCCAAAAGAGGGGGGAUCUUCGGACCUCUCGCGUCAAGAUAUGCCUAGGUGGGAUUAGCUAGUUGGUGAGGUAAUGGCUCACCAAGGCGACGAUCCCUAGCUGGUCUGAGAGGAUGAUCAGCCACACUGGAACUGGGACACGGUCCAGACUCCUACGGGAGGCAGCAGUGGGGAAUAUUGCACAAUGGGCGAAAGCCUGAUGCAGCCAUGCCGCGUGUAUGAAGAAGGCCUUCGGGUUGUAAAGUACUUUCAGUUGUGAGGAAGGGGGUAGUGUUAAUAGCACUAUCUCUUGACGUUAGCAACAGAAGAAGCACCGGCUAACUCCGUG
rnacentral:rRNA from 1 species